rnacentral:tRNA from 1 species
GGCGUUGGUCACCGCAGCCGCGGCCACACCUACGGGCUUUUAACCCGUAGGACCCGGGUUCAAGUCCCGGCGGGCCCACCA